AGCUUCUUAGCGCAGUAGGUAGCGCGUUGGGCUCAUAUCUAAACCCUAUGAAACCUUUCCACUCUCAAGUGGCGACACCCAAAGGUCGUCGGAUCGAAACCGACAGAAGCUA